rnacentral:misc_RNA from 1 species
GAUGACGAACGUAGUGAAAUGCGAUAAGUAAUGUGAAUUGCAGAAUUCAGUGAAUCAUCGAAUCUUUGAACGCACAUUGCGCCCGGUAGUAUUCUGCCGGGCAUGCCUGUUCGAGCGUCAUUUCAACCAUCAAGCCCCAGCGCUUGUGUUGGGGGCCUGCGGCUGCCGCAGCCCCCUAAAAGCAGUGGCGGGCUCGCUAUCACACCGAGUGCAGUAGUUCAUCUUCUCUCCGGUCUUGUGAGGCGGGUUCCGGCCGUGAAACACCCCACUACAUUCAAGGUUGACCUCGGAUCAGGUAGGAAUACCCGCUGAACUUAAGCAUAUCAAUAAGCGGAGGA